CUGAUGCAAUGAUGAUUGCAUAGUUCAGCAGAUAAUAAUGAUGAAUGAACCAAUGUCUUUCGCUCCUAACUGAUGCACCAG